rnacentral:rRNA from 1 species
UACGGGAGGAGCAAGCGUUGUUCGGAUUUACUGGGCGUAAAGGGCGCGUAGGCGGCCACCGCAAGUCGACUGUGAAAUCUCCGGGCUUAACCCGGAAAGGUCAGCCGAUACUGCGGGGCUAGAGUGCAGAAGGGGCAACUGGAAUUCUCGGUGUAGCGGUGAAAUGCGUAGAUAUCGAGAGGAACACCUGCGGCGAAGGCGGGUUGCUGGGCUGACACUGACGCUGAUGUGCGAAAGCUAGGGGAGCGAACGGG